rnacentral:lncRNA from 1 species
UCUAUUUGAAAGCUCAAGGAAGGAAGCCAGCUCUCUGCAAAGGAUGGGCUUGAUCCAGCAACGAGCACAUCCCUGUGAAGGUGAGAGAACAUGAGUGUUGGGGAUCCUCUGCCUCUGAGACCACCUUUGCGUGAACAAGAACUGGAGCUUUCCUGCAAACAAAGGAGCGUGUGGCACUCUUCGGUGAGGCCUGCAGCAUGCGGCUUGCCUCUCGCUGUACGGAUGUAACCAGACCCUGUUUGCAGCAGAACAAAUGCCACCUACCGGACCCGCUCCCUGACUGCAGCUGAAACACACGCAAAAAUACAGUGUGUGAGAGAGGAAAGUAGGUGCAAACACAGCUGCUGUGACAAGGACCCUGACUCUGCAUUCCGGGCAUGCUGUCUUUCCCAGGUGGUUUCCCAGCCUGGAAGAGCAAAGGGAACACUACCAGGUGGGUUAGCCAGAGUGCAGAGUGUUAUCUCA